GACAGCAACAAAUUUCGCUGAUCGCGGUAGUUUGUCGCAUUCCGUGUAUCGAGCCCAUAAUUUCUGCAUUAGCCGCUGAAAGAAAACAAACGUGGAAAGACUCGCGUCAGAAAAAGACAGACAGUUCCACGUCAAAGGAAAUUUUUGCAUUCUUGACCCCGCCCACCUUGGCUAAUAACCACGGACGGCUGUUGUUGAUUUAGCAUCCACGAGAGACCAGAGAGGAUCUUGGCUAAUAAAAGCUAACAGUUAGCAUUAGCAACUCCACAACGCGGCGGAGCUCCUUCAGGCUUGUGUUAUUAGUGGAGAUAAAACACCAACGUUGUAUUUUUUUUUUUACCCAAGAAAGAAGAACGAACAGAGGCAGAAGAAGAGCUGCGCUGCUGUUAGCCAACCUUUGGCGAGAUGUUUGCAAAUCCGUAAAUAUUAAUGAGUACGACUCAAAAUCCUAACAGACUUCUACCCUCUGAAACGGGAGCGCUGGCGUGUUUUGUUAAGCAGAAAUGGAUCCACAAGGCAUUCAUUUACACUUAAGUGUAUGCCCACUUUAAAGGCUGCAAGGUAGUCACAGGGCUGUUCAGUAUCAGGGUGUGUACACCACUGGGCAUGGACCACAGAUGGAUAAUGGCACAGUUGUGUUGGGAGAUUAAAACUGGCAGGCAGGGUAAAUGCAAAUGCUAGAAGACCAUCUUCAUCCAGGUUCAAAAGCUGCACAUAUUAAUCAGAAAGCCUCCAUGGGAUUGCAGAUGGACUCCCUAGAUGUAAAAGGAAAUGAACGGGAAUCUCCAGGUUGAUGAAGUGUUGAUGGUGUAAAAUGAGACAUUUGCCCAAAGGCACGAUGAAAAGACCUGAAGUUCUGGAGAAAAUUCUUCAGACAAAUAAAACUGGAUCUUUUUAGGCACUCGCAAGGUUUUUUGACUCUGUGCAGCAUCAAACAAAUUCCCAACCAGCUAGGAGUUCUGGAGCUAACUUCCCUCAAGAUUGGUUGAUGAGGAGCAAGGUGCCCACAUCGUUUUUCCAUCCCAAAUGCAGUAAGUAUCUCUGAACUUAACACAUUCCAGUUUUUGUUGUCUAGUAUUUCUGCUAAUACUAUUACUGUACUGUUAUAUACUAUUACUGCUACUUCCAGGAAAACAAAAGGUCCAUGUACAUCUGUGGUUGAAGAUGAUUUUCCAUCCCAGUCGCAAUUCUUUUGAUGAAGAGCCAUCCACCAUCACCAGCAACGGACAAGGUCAGUGAUGGGAUGCUGCUGGAGAUGCUCCACAUAUUCUGGACUCCUGGUAAACAGAGUAAGACCCAGGUCAUAAUCGUGCAGCCCUACUGGACUAUCCUGACGUGGCCUGAUCUACAUCGUGCUGAAGAUCUGUGGAAGGUGCUGAAAACAUCUGGAGAAGGAGCCCUUUAAACCAGAGACAACUGAAGCUCUUUGUUCCUGAAGAGCAGAGCAAAAUACCUGUGGACAGGUGCAUCUGUCUCACUGAGAGGUACAGAUGCGACCUGACCUGUAAGAACUAAUGAUCCGGAACACAAAUGAACACAACAGGUUUAGACUUAAAAGCACCAAUCAGUCACUUUGAACUUCUGGACAGCAGAUGGGUUUUAUUUAUGGACUGGAUCUGAAUAAAUCCAUCAAGUUUGUGUCUUUAAGGAACGACAUGACACAAAAGCUGGACAAAGACAGUGUUUCAUACUGAUUCUGCACCAACUCAUCCAUAAAAUGCACAUCUGCACUAUCUCCAGAUAACAUAUCCACAUCUGCUUCAACAACUUAUCAUAACCUUUUUGUGGCUAAGUCAGGCCUGGCUAGGAUACACCCUGGUUCCCAGAAUCCCGUGCACCGGGCCUUCCUGUGGAUUCACCUCAUCCCACCAAUUCCUCUCUCUGAUCAGACCUCUGGUUUGUCAAGAGUCUUGCUAAGCCACUAAACACCGAAACACGACAUAUUUUGUGUUUGCAGCUGCUUUUUAGGGGGAAGUUAGUCAGUUUGAAAAAACUGUCUCCAACAAUCCAUCUUUCCAACCUUUACAGUAAAGAUGUAAAUAAUGAUGAUCACUGGGAAAAUCCUGAAUAAAGCUCCGGAUCAUGAAAAUAAAGGCUCAUCAAAUGGAAAGAUAUGCCGAGUUAUCUGAUAAAACGCGUCCUACUCUAGCUCCUUUUCAACUCCUCGCCAUCAUGGUUUUUUUAUUUCUAAGAACUCUAGUAGCUGGAGACUAAAAUAAAAAAGUGAUGCUAUGAAACUGAAACGGCUUCUCCAAGAAGUCAGAAAGUAUUCAAAUAUUCAGCUCAGUCACAUGAGAGCGAAUCCCAGGAGGACUUUGUUGAGUAGAUCUGAAGCUGCAGCUGAAAUAAACGACCAGAGCUGAAUAAACGUAACAUAAAACAUGCGGCACGUGGAAAAUCUGACAAACUAAAUCAAACUAAAUCUGAGAAUAAAGCUGCAGCUUUGGCCCGUAUUCUGUGUUCUAGGUGAUACAAAAUGUGGGAUGGAAAACUGCAGAAAAACAAUUUUCUUUUUGAAAAAUGUUUCCAUUGUGCAGCAAAACUGAAAAAAUUGAGAAAUAAAUGAGAAAACAAGUCCUCUGGAAGGACGUGUGAAACACGAAUGCCUCAGAGUCAGGCUGACUCGACAUUUGAUGUCAGGUUUUAGAAAUGUGUCCCAAAUUAACAGCAGCUCUAAAUCCAGGCUUUCUUUUCUUCCGGCUCUUGGAGGGUGCAGACGCUUUUUUCCUCCUCUCCUCCAUAUCUUAUCCUCAAGGCCUUUGUCUGUCUCUGUGUGCUGGGUGCACGGCUGCUUCUGCAUUUUUCUGGAAACUGGAAACUGAAAUUAAUUUAAAUGGAUCUCGUCAGCUGGUCUCUCAACGCGAUUGAUACAAUUUUUUCAAUGAUGAGAACGGGAGAAGGGGCUCCCGGAUGCCCCUCCGGGACAGACCCCAUUGGAAACAUCAUGGACUCCUGGAAAAAGUGGAACUUGAUUUGUUUAUCUCAGCUGUCUGUGGAGGAUUCUGAAGACGUGUGGAUAUUCGUGGUGUUGGUGUCAGGUUUCCUGCUAAUCGGCCUUGGAGGCUUCCUGGCUUACCGGAAAAUUAACAAGCUGUCGAGGAAUACUGGCCUGAUCCCGGAGCUCAGAGAUGGUUUGCACCGCGCUGUGAAUUCACAGACUCACAUAAUUGUCUAGAUGAAUCAUAAGCUUGGGACUUUGGCCGAGAUUCAUUCUUUGGCACAAAAGAUGGAUGCCAUCAAGGAGAGAGUGGACGAAUAAGCACGGAUUGGGAUAGAUUAAUGUCCAUUAUUGGGAUUCUGAGAGGUUGAGGACCAGCAAACUGUAAGACAGAGAGGAAAUUAUCUCUGUCUGGCCCCAAAACUAUUUCUAAUCGGAAUCUGGCGUCCUUGAGCCUGCAAGGCUCCAACGAAGACUCCCCCCUCAGAAGACAUGUGGAAUGUGCCGUCGUUAUGGCAACUCAACUCUGUCUCCUUUGCCAGCCUGGGCGGGACUGCGGGAAGGCCGCUGAAACGUUCCAGGGUCACUGCAACCCUCCAACCCUCAAUGCUCCUCCCCCUAUCCACACUGAGGUGACAUGCGCUGCUUAUCGUGGCUGCAGGAACUGAAGUGGGGAUAGUCCCAACCCACCACCCCACCUAGUGGACACUUAUGUUGUGUUGUCUGAAGUCCGUUGCAUAUCUGUCUGAGGUGUUUUUUUUUUUUGGCAGAGCAAAGCUGCCCUCCUGGUGGGAGGGUAACUCUGAAGUGCCUUUUUUCCCUCCACCUGAACCAAUCCUCAUGUAACCCUCUGAUCUCUAUUAAGGUAGCGCGACUCAGGGUUGUGAAUGACCACAGUCACCAAUUCUUGUCAUGUGUCUUGCCCAUGUAUGUCUGAUGUCUGAAUGGUGUGUACUGAAACUCUAAUUUCCCUCUGGGAUUAAUAAAGUAUCUUUGAUUUGAUUUGAUUGAUUAUGUCUACUUUGGGUUUCAGCUGCUUUAUUUUAUUUCCUCAUGUCCCAAACUGAGUUUAUAAUCUUUUUUUAAAGUAUGAUUUAAAUUAUUACCAGGAACAGGUUUUACUCUCAGCUAAUCCCAGACUAGGUGGAUUACAGACAAAUUAUACUGGGAUAACGGAGUCUCAAACCAGCCAUUUAAAACCACCCUGCAGUCAUCUGAUGCCAAGAAAAGAUGAAAUGGAACAGCCCAAAGUUAUGAAACUUCAAAUUAAAAACUCAAGGAAAAAUAAAUGCAACUAAAAAAUUAUCUUUGAGACCAAAAAAUAAAAACAAUGUCCAGAUUUUCUAAAUAAGGUGCAAAUAUGUAAUUCCAGUCCUGUUUUGGGCGUAACUUUUGCUGGCUGCAGCUGUUCUGAGGCCCCAAACUCCCUGACUUACUAAAGCCCUCCCAGGUGCGACUCACCUUGUU